CGGGUUACUAAUAUUAUGCGUAGGCCUCCUCGUUAUGCACAAGUGUUAAUUGGGUCAGUUCAGACCCAAAAAACAUAUAUGACGACUUUGGUGGUUUAGGUAUGGGCCCAAUACAAAUGUUCUAAUUGUUGUACCUAUUAUUAUGUCUUCUAAUUUAUACCAACGUAAAUUGGAUAUUGAUCUAUCCUACCCAUCCUAAUA
rnacentral:lncRNA from 1 species